UGUUAAUUGUUUAAUUAUCAGAAUAUAGAAGAUGACAUUUUAUGUUCUUUAGGAUAUAAGUAUAUAUUUAAUUAAUUUUGAUGUUCAAUACAUAUCUUUCUAAAUUAAUAAAUGUCAUGGUUUGUUACUCAUUAAAUGUUUGAAUGAUUUAUAUAAUUGAGGAUUUACUUAAUAUAAAUAUUUAGCUUGCAAUAUUUAAUAGAAAUCUCUGGUACAUAACCACUUUAUGAUUGUAUAAACAAAAUAAGAAGGGUAAAAAAAUACGUACUGCUGAAAAAUUGUCAUAUUUUCCUUUUUUUUCUAUCUUUUAUGAGUAAUUUUCUAUCUUAUCUUUCAAAUGUACAGAAUAAUUGAUUUCUGAUAUAGGUUAAUCUUUUGAAGGUUACACAUCUCUAACUUGCUUAUUUUGUCACUCUAUUCAUCUGUGUUUCCUCUUAUUGUCAAUUUUAUUCUUGCAUCACCAAUGAUUAUGAUAGUGUUUUUCGUAUUGUUUUGAUGAGAUUGAGAUGUUUGUUAGGAUUAUGAGGAUCUCACAAUAAUAAAGUUGGUGCUAAUGUAACACUAGAAAAAUGAUUGGGUUGGUUUCCUUUAAUACAUACGGUCUCAUUUUCAUUGUCUUGUAAUUAUUCUAUUUUCUUUUUUUCUUUUUCAUUUUCUUGUAAUUAUUCUUUUUUCUUUUUUUCUUUUUCAUUUUCUACUUAUAAUUAGUAUUUUAGCAUAUUUUUUAAGCUAUAUAACUUAUGUUAAUCGUUUAAUUAUCAGAAUAUAGAAGAUGACAUUUUAUGUUCUUUAGGAUAUAAGUAUAUAUUUAAUUAAUUUUGAUGUUCAAUACAUAUCUUUCUAAACUAGUUAAUGUCAAGGUUUGUUACUCAAUAAAUGUUUGAUUGAUUUAUAUAAUUGAGGAUUUACUUAAUAUAAUUAUUUAGCUUACAAUAUUUAAUAGAAAUCUCUGGUUCAUAAUCACUUUAUGAUUGUAUAAACAAAAUACAAAGGGUAAAAAAAUACGUACUGCUGAAAAAUUGUCAUAUUUUCCUUUUUUUUCUAUCUUUUAUGAGUAAUUUUCUUUCUUAUCUAUCAAAUGUACGGAACAAUUGAUUUCUGAUAUAGGUUAAUCUUUUGAAGGUUACACAUCUCUAACUUGUUUAUUUUGUCACUCUAUUCAUCUGUGUUUCCUCUUAUUUUCAAUUUUAUUCUUGCAUCACCAAUGAUUAUGAUAGGGUUUUUCGUAUUGUUUUGAUGAGAUUGAGAUGUUUGUUAGGAUUAUGAGGAUCUCACAAUAAUAAAGUUGGUGCUAAUGUAACACUAGAAAAAUGAUUGGGUUGGUUUCCUUUAAUACAUACGGUCUCAUUUUCAUUGUCUUGUAAUUAUUCUAUUUUCUUUUUUUCUUUUUCAUUUUCUUGUAAUUAUUCUUUUUUCUUUUUUUCUUUUUCAUUUUCUACUUAUAAUUAGUAUUUUAGCAUAUUUUUUAAUCUAUAUAACUUAUGUUAAUCGUUUAAUUAUCAGAAUAUAGAAGAUGACAUUUUAUGUUCUUUAGGAUAUAAGUAUAUAUUUAAUUAAUUUUGAUGUUCAAUACAUAUCUUUCUAAACUAGUUAAUGUCAAGGUUUGUUACUCAAUAAAUGUUUGAUUGAUUUAUAUAAUUGAGGAUUUACUUAAUAUAAUUAUUUAGCUUACAAUAUUUAAUAGAAAUCUCUGGUUCAUAAUCACUUUAUGAUUGUAUAAACAAAAUACAAAGGGUAAAAAAAUACGUACUGCUGAAAAAUUGUCAUAUUUUCCUUUUUUUUCUAUCUUUUAUGAGUAAUUUUCUUUCUUAUCUAUCAAAUGUACGGAACAAUUGAUUUCUGAUAUAGGUUAAUCUUUUGAAGGUUACACAUCUCUAACUUGUUUAUUUUGUCACUCUAUUCAUCUGUGUUUCCUCUUAUUUUCAAUUUUAUUCUUGCAUCACCAAUGAUUAUGAUAGGGUUUUUCGUAUUGUUUUGAUGAGAUUGAGAUGUUUGUUAGGAUUAUGAGGAUCUCACAAUAAUAAAGUUGGUGCUAAUGUAACACUAGAAAAAUGAUUGGGUUGGUUUCCUUUAAUACAUACGGUCUCAUUUUCAUUGUCUUGUAAUUAUUCUAUUUUCUUUUUUUCUUUUUCAUUUUCUUGUAAUUAUUCUUUUUUCUUUUUUUCUUUUUCAUUUUCUACUUAUAAUUAGUAUUUUAGCAUAUUUUUUAAGCUAUAUAACUUAUGUUAAUCGUUUAAUUAUCAGAAUAUAGAAGAUGACAUUUUAUGUUCUUUAGGAUAUAAGUAUAUAUUUAAUUAAUUUUGAUGUUCAAUACAUAUCUUUCUAAACUAGUUAAUGUCAAGGUUUGUUACUCAAUAAAUGUUUGAUUGAUUUAUAUAAUUGAGGAUUUACUUAAUAUAAUUAUUUAGCUUACAAUAUUUAAUAGAAAUCUCUGGUUCAUAAUCACUUUAUGAUUGUAUAAACAAAAUACAAAGGGUAAAAAAAUACGUACUGCUGAAAAAUUGUCAUAUUUUCCUUUUUUUUCUAUCUUUUAUGAGUAAUUUUCUUUCUUAUCUAUCAAAUGUACGGAACAAUUGAUUUCUGAUAUAGGUUAAUCUUUUGAAGGUUACACAUCUCUAACUUGUUUAUUUUGUCACUCUAUUCAUCUGUGUUUCCUCUUAUUUUCAAUUUUAUUCUUGCAUCACCAAUGAUUAUGAUAGGGUUUUUCGUAUUGUUUUGAUGAGAUUGAGAUGUUUGUUAGGAUUAUGAGGAUCUCACAAUAAUAAAGUUGGUGCUAAUGUAACACUAGAAAAAUGAUUGGGUUGGUUUCCUUUAAUACAUACGGUCUCAUUUUCAUUGUCUUGUAAUUAUUCUAUUUUCUUUUUUUCUUUUUCAUUUUCUUGUAAUUAUUCUUUUUUCUUUUUUUCUUUUUCAUUUUCUACUUAUAAUUAGUAUUUUAGCAUAUUUUUUAAUCUAUAUAACUUAUGUUAAUCGUUUAAUUAUCAGAAUAUAGAAGAUGACAUUUUAUGUUCUUUAGGAUAUAAGUAUAUAUUUAAUUAAUUUUGAUGUUCAAUACAUAUCUUUCUAAACUAGUUAAUGUCAAGGUUUGUUACUCAAUAAAUGUUUGAUUGAUUUAUAUAAUUGAGGAUUUACUUAAUAUAAUUAUUUAGCUUACAAUAUUUAAUAGAAAUCUCUGGUUCAUAAUCACUUUAUGAUUGUAUAAACAAAAUACAAAGGGUAAAAAAAUACGUACUGCUGAAAAAUUGUCAUAUUUUCCUUUUUUUUCUAUCUUUUAUGAGUAAUUUUCUUUCUUAUCUAUCAAAUGUACGGAACAAUUGAUUUCUGAUAUAGGUUAAUCUUUUGAAGGUUACACAUCUCUAACUUGUUUAUUUUGUCACUCUAUUCAUCUGUGUUUCCUCUUAUUUUCAAUUUUAUUCUUGCAUCACCAAUGAUUAUGAUAGGGUUUUUCGUAUUGUUUUGAUGAGAUUGAGAUGUUUGUUAGGAUUAUGAGGAUCUCACAAUAAUAAAGUUGGUGCUAAUGUAACACUAGAAAAAUGAUUGGGUUGGUUUCCUUUAAUACAUACGGUCUCAUUUUCAUUGUCUUGUAAUUAUUCUAUUUUCUUUUUUUCUUUUUCAUUUUCUUGUAAUUAUUCUUUUUUCUUUUUUUCUUUUUCAUUUUCUACUUAUAAUUAGUAUUUUAGCAUAUUUUUUAAUCUAUAUAACUUAUGUUAAUCGUUUAAUUAUCAGAAUAUAGAAGAUGACAUUUUAUGUUCUUUAGGAUAUAAGUAUAUAUUUAAUUAAUUUUGAUGUUCAAUACAUAUCUUUCUAAACUAGUUAAUGUCAAGGUUUGUUACUCAAUAAAUGUUUGAUUGAUUUAUAUAAUUGAGGAUUUACUUAAUAUAAUUAUUUAGCUUACAAUAUUUAAUAGAAAUCUCUGGUUCAUAAUCACUUUAUGAUUGUAUAAACAAAAUACAAAGGGUAAAAAAAUACGUACUGCUGAAAAAUUGUCAUAUUUUCCUUUUUUUUCUAUCUUUUAUGAGUAAUUUUCUUUCUUAUCUAUCAAAUGUACGGAACAAUUGAUUUCUGAUAUAGGUUAAUCUUUUGAAGGUUACACAUCUCUAACUUGUUUAUUUUGUCACUCUAUUCAUCUGUGUUUCCUCUUAUUUUCAAUUUUAUUCUUGCAUCACCAAUGAUUAUGAUAGGGUUUUUCGUAUUGUUUUGAUGAGAUUGAGAUUUUUGUUAGGAUUAUGAGGAUCUCACAAUAAUAAACGUGGUGCUAGUGUAACACUGGAAAACUUAUUUAGUUGGUUUCCUUUAUACCAUACGGUCUCAUUUAAAUUUGUUGUUAUUAUUCUAUUUCAUUUUUUUUAUUUUUUAUUUUCUUGUAAUUAUUCUAUUUUGUUUUUUUCUUUUUCAUUUUCUACAUAUAAUUAGUAUUUUAGCAAAUUUUUUAAUCUGUAUAACUUAUAUUAAUUGUUUAAUAUCACAAUAUAGAAGAUGACAUUUUAUGUUCUUAAGGAUAUAAGUAUAUAUUUAAUUAAUUUUGAUGUUCAAUACAUAUCUUUCUAAACUAAUUAAUGUCAAGGUUUGUUACUCACUAAAUGUUUGAAUGAUUUAUAUAAUUGAGGAUUUACUUAAUAUAAAUAUUUAGCCUACAAUAUUUAAUAAAAACCUCUGGUUCAUAAUCACUUUAUGAUUGUAUAAACAAAGUACAAAGGGUAAAAAAAUACGUACUGCUGAAAAAUUGUCAUUUUUUCCUUUUUUUUCUAUCUUUUAAGUGUAAUUUUCUUUCUUAUCUAUCAAAUGUACGGAACAAUUGAUUUCUGAUAUAGGUUAAUCUUUUGAAGGUUACACAUCUCUAACUUGUUUAUUUUGUCACUCUAUUCAUCUGUGUUUCCUCUUAUUUUCAAUUUUAUUCUUGCAUCACCAAUGAUUAUGAUAGGGUUUUUCGUAUUGUUUUGAUGAGAUUGAGGUGUUUGUUAGGAUUAUGAGGAUCUCACAAUAAUAAAGUUGGUGCUAAUGUAACACUAGAAAAAUGAUUGGGUUGGUUUCCUUUAAUACAUACGGUCUCAUUUUCAUUGUCUUGU
rnacentral:lncRNA from 1 species